rnacentral:misc_RNA from 1 species
GGCGAAUUCUAUCCUCGCCGGGGCGGUGCUAGACGGGAGAUCAUACGUUGCGAGCAUCGUCGAAUUCGGCGGCGUCGGUGACGGGGAGACGCUUAACACGGAGGCGUUCCGUGCGGCGGUGGAGAAUCUGAGCAAGUACGCUGGCUACGGCGGCGCGGCGCUGGUGAUUCCGGCGGGACGGUGGCUGACGGGGCCGUUCAAUCUGACGAGUUGCUUCACGCUUUAUCUGGAGUGCGACGCCGUGAUUCUUGCUUCUCAGGACAUGGAGCAGUACCCCAUUAUCGCCCCCCUCCCAUCCUACGGCAGAGG